rnacentral:rRNA from 1 species
ACGCCUAACACAUGCAAGUCGAACGGAGAGUUGAGAGCUUGCGUCUUAAAUCUUAGUGGCGGACGGGUGGAGUAACACGUGAGCAACCUGCCUCUGAGAGAGGGAUAGCUUCUGGAAACGGAUGGUAAUACCUCAUAACAUUACAUGACCGCAUGAUCGUGUAAUCAAAGAUUUAUCACUCAGAGAUGGGCUCGCGUCUGGAUUAGCUAGUUGGUGAGGUAACGGCCCACCAAGGCGACGAUCAGUAGCCGGACUGAGAGGUUGAACGGCCACAUUGGGACUGAGACACGGCCCAGACUCCUACGGGAGGCAGCAGUGAGGGAUAUUGCACAAUGGAGGAAACUCUGAUGCAGCGAUGCCGCGUGGAGGAAGAAGGUUUUCGGAUUGUAAACUCCUGUUUCGAGGGACGAUAAUGACGGUACCUCGGGAGGAAGCUCCGGCUAACUACGUGCCAGCAGCAGC